rnacentral:rRNA from 1 species
AUGGCCGGCGCGGUGUCGGCGCUGUUCCUGCUGGACAUCAAGGGCCGCGUCCUCGUCUGGCGCGACUUCCGCGGCGACGUCACCGCCGUCCAGGCCGAGCGCUUCUUCACCAAGCUCCUCGACAAGGAGGGCGAUGCGGAGGCGUACUCGCCGGUGGUCUACGACGACGCGGGCGUCACCUACAUGUUUAUACAGCAUAACAAUAUUUUCCUCCUCACCGCCUCCCGCCAAAACUGCAACGCCGCUAGCAUCCUCCUAUUCCUCCACCGCGUCGUCGAUGUGUUCAAGCACUAUUUCGAGGAAUUGGAGGAGGAAUCACUCAGAGAUAACUUUGUCGUCGUGUAUGAGUUGCUUGAUGAGAUGAUGGAUUUUGGGUAUCCACAAUACACCGAGGCAAAGAUUUUAAGCGAGUUCAUCAAGACAGAUGCAUACAAGAUGGAGGUCUCACAGAGGCCACCGAUGGCUGUGACAAAUGCUGUCUCAUGGAGGAGUGAGGGGAUUCGGUACAAAAAGAACGAAGUGUUCUUGGAUGUAGUGGAGAGUGUUAACAUUCUUGUUAAUAGCAAUGGGCAGAUUGUGAGAUCAGAUGUUGUUGGGGCACUGAAAAUGCGAACAUAUUUGAGUGGAAUGCCCGAGUGCAAACUCGGGUUGAAUGACAAGGUUCUUUUGGAGGCUCAGGGGCGAGCAACUAAAGGGAAGGCAAUAGAUCUUGAUGAUAUCAAAUUUCAUCAGUGUGUGCGAUUGGCCAGAUUUGAGAAUGAUAGGACGAUAUCAUUCAUCCCUCCAGAUGGAUCUUUUGAUCUGAUGACAUACAGGCUCAACACUCAGGUGAAACCUCUUAUCUGGGUGGAAGCCCAGGUUGAAAAACAUUCAAGAAGCCGGAUAGAAUUGAUGAUUAAGGCAAGAAGUCAGUUUAAGGAAAGAAGCACAGCAACAAAUGUUGAAAUUGAAGUUCCUGUUCCUUCAGAUGCCACAAACCCAAAUAUAAGAACUUCAAUGGGUUCUGCUGCAUAUGCACCUGAGAGAGAUGCAAUGGUCUGGAAAGUAAAAUCAUUUCCUGGUGGCAAAGAGUACAUGUGCAGAGCGGAGUUUAGUCUACCAAGUAUAAGUGCGGAAGAAGCAGUCCCUGAAAAGAAGGCACCGAUACGAGUGAAAUUUGAAAUACCAUAUUUCACUGUAUCGGGUAUUCAGGUUCGCUAUCUAAAGAUCAUUGAAAAGAGUGGGUACCAGGCGCUUCCGUGGGUUAGAUACAUUACCAUGGCAGGUGAAUACGAACUGAGACUUAUAUGA